rnacentral:rRNA from 1 species
AACGAACGCUGGCGGCAGGCCUAACACAUGCAAGUCGAACGUGAAGCCAUCUUCGGGUGGUGGAAAGUGGCAGACGGGUGAGUAACGCGUGGGAACGUGCCCUUCGGUUCGGGAUAACCCAGGGAAACUUGGGCUAAUACCGGAUACGCCCUUCGGGGGAAAGAUUCAUUGCCGAAGGAUCGGCCCGCGUCGGAUUAGCUAGUUGGUAGGGUAAUGGCCUACCAAGGCGACGAUCCGUAGCUGGUCUGAGAGGAUGACCAGCCACACUGGGACUGAGACACGGCCCAGACUCCUACGGGAGGCAGCAGUGGGGAAUAUUGGACAAUGGGCGCAAGCUUGAUCCAGCCAUGCCGCGUGGGUGAAGAAGGCCUUAGGGUUGUAAACCCCUUUCAGCGGGGAAGAUAAUGACGGUACCCGCAGAAGAAGUCCCGGCUAACUCCGUGCCAGCCGCCGCGGUAACAC